UCACAUCAGAGAGGGAAGCCUGAGCUGCAGGAGGAGAGCCUGCAGGCCUCCUGGGUAGAAUUACACCUUCACAAUAAUCAAAAUAAGACCAGUGUUUCAGUCUCAGGUUCUACUUAUAAUGGUGACAAGGAAAUAAUGCUGCUAAAUUUCCAGCAUGAGUCCAAAUAGAGAUAGCUCCAAAAGUUCUUUCUGUGACAGCCCACCUCAUUGAGACACCAUGGAAUACUAAUAGGGCUUCUGAAACAGACAAAGCAUUGGAGAGAAAAACAGAUCUCCAUCUGGGCAAGAUGAUUUUGACAGA
rnacentral:lncRNA from 1 species